CCUUUGGAUGCUGUCCAGUGCAGCCUUCACUCCACCUAAACUUGAUCCAUCCUUCCUCUUGAGUGGGGGGGAACCAGCUCAGAAUUCAUCCCUUUAAAACAAAUUUCAAUAAAUAGUUAUAGCUGUAUAUUAACAUUGAAUGAUAACUUGAUUAACUGCAAUAAAUGAUCUCAUAAGCACAGACCAGUGUUUCUCAAAUUGGGGUGAUAAGAACCCUGGGGGUUUGUGGAUAUAUUCUCACGAUCUCCAAGUUCUAUAUAAAUUAUUUAAAAUGUUAUAUAAAAUAUUAUAUUUUUGACAAAGCUAUUUUGAAAUUGGAAACCAUGUUUACAUUUCAAAUAACUUAAGUCAGUGUUACUCAAAACAUUUACUCUUUAGGAUCUCAAAAAAACCUGUUCCUUUAAAAGGUGCUGCAUCCUGACAGAUUACUUCAGUUUGAGAAACAAGAAGGCUCAGGACUAUUCAUAUAUUACCUCCAGUCAGUCAGACAAAUAUCUUUAGGCACUGGCUGGGGGAAACAAGCUGUGAGGAAACAUGGAUAUUAAUUAAAAUGGGCAGUGAGAGAAGCCCAGCUCAUUAAUAUAAUUCUUCUUGCUCUUGCUGGGAUACAUGAACAUGCACAAAAAAAAGUUUUCAAAUUUGAUGUUAAUAUUUUUUCAGUUGGAUCUUUGUUCUUUUUACACCAGAGAGGCUAAUCUUUUUAGCUCACAAAAGUAUUUGUUGAAAAAGGUGAAAGGGAAGAGGGGAAGGUCAUGGUCUUAUAAAACAUAUUUCUCUAUUACCCUCUUGCCAAACAGGAUCCACAAAUAUCUCAAACUAAAAAGACACUGCUACUCUCAUCUGUUCUUGGGCAGAGAGAGAAUAAGAAGCAUACAAAGUUCUAACAUAUCAGAUUUAUACUCCCAAUCCCUAGAGCUUGAAAAACUCAAGCUUAAAACAAUCAACAAUUUGCCAGCCUGGAUAGAACCAAACACAAUGGCCAGGUGUUAUUUCUAAUCACUUUCCGUGCAUUCAAAAAAGGUAAAAACCAAAUGACAUUAAAAUAAACAUUAUACUACCCAGGUGGCUGUAAUAGUAAUCAUGUCCUGGACCAAAGACAAAAGUUAACCUACCUCAAGUUCACCCUAUCAACUUCAAACCCUAGUGUGCUCAUUUUUUAAAACUCUAAAACAUAUAAUUCACACAAGACAGUACUUGAUUAUUAUGUUCUACAGUUAUUUCAAGUGUGCUUAUAUUAGCUUUUUUAACAAUAUAACCAUAUUAGGGAUGAGAUUAUAUAGGACUAUAGCAUUUCUAUCCCUCACUUCAAUACAGCCUAGCGUAGGGCCAGAUACACAAUAUUAAUUUUGUAAUUUUGUUAACUCAUAUGGUGAUAUAUAAAUUACAGAUGAGGUAGAAACAUGGAAGGACCCUCCAAUUUUUGUAUGGGUAGCAUCUAAGAGAAAGAAAAUGGAACAGGAAAAAGAUUACUUAAUAGCUACAAAGUAGUACUUACAGCAUUCUAAAGAGCCAGAGACUCUUCUUACAGCUGUCCAAGGAGCUAGUAGUGCAAACUGCACCCUGAGCUGGGCCGAUCUUUUGACAUCCUUCUCAGACAACAGUAUCCUUUUUCAGUGACUAGAAAGAACUGCUGUGGUGAUAAUUAGUUACUGGCUUCAGCAGUUCCAUAUUAAAUACUUCUCUGCCAAACACCUUGUACACUAGAGGCUGAGAUAUUAUUCAUUGUAUUCAUUUUCACUAUUGAAAUUUAUAUCCAAAAGACUGAUUAGACCUUGGCUUAUUUUUCUUUUCAUAUAAAAUGGGAAAACUGGUUCCAUUGUUUCUAAGUCCUCACUUCAGUGUGGUGCUUUAGGUAACUUUAAAAAUAGCAGAAUUAAACAGGGUACAUAAAAUGUAAUAGAUUAAUCAAACAAAGUGAUCUAUGGUUUUCAAAAGCACCUCAGCAUGUUCUCUCAUUUUAUCCUUUUACAGCAAUCUUCUUGAAAUAAGUAUGGCCUAGUUGGAACUCCAGAUGAAGAAAUUUAAUGAUUAGGAAGUUUAGAUAGUUUUUCCUAGAAGUGAAUACUGGUAAAGCCCAAACAAGAAGUGGUUUGAAAAUGGUGGUAGAGCCCGAAGAUACUGGUCUUAAGAGUUCCACUCUAGAACUCCUUUAGUAAUAUAUUAUAAUAUCAAAGUCACAGUGGUCUAUCCACAGACUCACCACCCUUAGUAAAAUGAGAGACACUGGUCAUCAGGUACAUGAUAUAAAUGGGUUUACCGACUUCAAAAUUUCAAUGACCAGGUUAUCAAUUCCACCCUGCAAUCCAGAUGUCUUUCUUAAAAAAUAAAAAAUAAAAACUUUUUGGUUGUAUCCUGGCAAUUGGCACUAUACAAUGGCAAUAUACAAAAGGAAAGGAGAGACAUAGCCAGGCAAUCUGCUUUGAAAGGAAGAAUGCACAGAUAGUGAUAACCUUCCUUCCUGGGAAGUCAAUUUUCAAAUGAUACUUAUAUAUAAUGAAAACCCCAAAUAAAGGGUAGCAAUCCAGUUCCCUUGGGUCUGACUUGCCUUGAGCAUUUUGCCUAGUAAAGCAGUAACAGAGGGGAUCAGGAAUGGUUCUGUCCCCAGAAUAUGACAAUAAUCGGAACUGGGAUCAUUAACAAAUGCAGGAAAAGGAGUAAAGGCCCAGUCACCUAGUUCUGGCCUGCUUUUGGUAGUCCAUACUGCACAAAUAUAACAUCAAAAUGGUAGAGAGAUCUUGGGCUGAUGGGCUUAAAAAUGGGACAAUCAAUACUGUGUUAAUAACACAGAAGGGGCUGUGGUGGUAAGCACUACUCAGAAGUAAUGCAAAGAAGGAAGUGGAAGAGUCCGUGCCUGAUGGGUGGGACCAAGGGAAGUGCAACAGGGAAUUAUAGAAAUUCAAAGCGGGCAAAACAAUGACAUCUGGGACUGUUAACAUUGUAAAUCCAAGAGGAAGGAGUUUUGCUCAGUCAACAUUUCCCAGCAACAAUGCAAAAGGGGCAGGGCAGGGGUGGGAGGGGUGAGGGAGCAUAAUCUUAUCUGGAUGGAUGGACACCUGAAAUUGUGAAUAUUAAAAAUCCAUAAGAAGGGUCCAAGGGCAGACAAGGGGUUUGAAGAGGGAAGAUAAGGGAAAGGCCAUGAUUACUUGGGAUUUGAUACACUGGAGCCAGCGCAAAAGGAGUGGGAAUGUGGGUCGCCCUUUGAUGGACAAGUUCACAGCAUAGUGCAGUGUUUAUACUUUAUUAUACCAUGAGAAAUUGGAGCUGGGAGUGCUUGCCUAACAAGACCAGGGAGGAAAAACCCAUUGCCAACUGCCAUUGUGCUCAUCAGCAGUCCCAGUAAAAGUUUUGUGUCAUCAGCAGCCCAUGAAGUAAUGCAAAGGGGGUAUGCGGGAAUGAUGUCCUACUCUAAUAGAAGGGUGUAUGGAUAACUGCAAAUAUUCACACCCAGAGUCAAAAAAAGAAGCCUUAAGUCAGUACUCCUGAUCCAUAGUGAGGGUACAGGGAUCUUAUCUAAAGAUCAUACACUUGAUGUAUUAUUGGUGCAUAUUAAUUGUCCAAGAGCUGAGGUCAUGAUAGCUGGCUGAGGGAGUAUUUCAAAGUAUACUGAUAAAGACAAGAAUUUCUAUUACGUAUACUAACAGUAAGGGAUCUUGGCAGGGAAACAGUAUCCCUUGCACUAUUACAAAGGAGAUACAAUAGUCCUAGAAGUAAUAGGGUUAUGGGAAAGUGCAACUCUGCACAUUAAUUGUCCAAAUGGAAAGGUCUUAGCAAUGGGCAAACUUACUGGAAGGCAUAGGAAGUGAGGGGGAGGGUCCUUGUCUCGUGCACAAGAGUGUACAUUCACAAGCUAAGGAAAGGGAAGGCAACAGGAUAAGAUGAACUAAGUUGCAAUUAUGUAAAUUAAUGUUGAAGGGACAUGGUGUGGUCAAUUAAAAUCAUAUACCUUGUACAAAUAUAAGAAUCUUAAAGGAAGUAUGAAGCCCCUAUAAUGUAAUUGUCAUUACACAUAUUUGAGAAAGGGGCCUUAAGUGGACAGUACCCCAUGCAGUAAAGCAAAGGGGAUGAAAAGAGUCAGGGAGACAAGUUAACUCAGAAGACCAUAGUGUAAUUACACAUAGUCAUAGUCCCAGAACAAGGGCUUUAAGGUGGUAAGUUAACCUGUGCUUCAAUAAGUGAAAGGGCCCUGAUCUAAAAAGCACAGCUGUGGACAACUGAGAAUGUGUACAAGACAACUAAGAUUGUGCACAUUAACUGCAAUAGUGUGUAAGAUCUUGAAUAGUAGGCAUCUCCUGCUGAAAUAUAAAUAGAAUGGGGAGGGUCCUUACCUGAGGUACAGGUACAGGAGCAAACAUUAAGUACACACAUUAACAGUCCAAGACAGUGAAUCUUAGCUAGUCAGAAGUCCCUGCAGUAAUGUAAAUGGGGCAAGGAUAUGGGAUCCUAGUCUAACAUUAGGGAGCAUGGACUACUGAAAUUAUGCACAUUUAAACUGUACGGAAGAAGCAGCCAGUUGAUUAGGACCCCUGAUGCAAAGGAGGUGGAAUGGGAUGGGUUCUUAGUAUAAUUCUGCACAUUAACUGUCCAAAAGAAAAACUAGUCAGUAGUCCCUGCUUUAAUACUAAAAAUUCAAUAUGUUAGUUUGUCAUGAGGGCACAUGCACAUUGAGUCCCAAGAGAAAGAGUUUGGGUCACUAACAUCCCCUGAUAUAACGCAAAAAGGGAGGAAUAUUAAUUAAAAUAGAAGGGCCUUAAACACUGGAAUUUUGCAUGUAAAUAUUCCCAGAAAAAAGUAAUGGCAGUAAUUCAUAUAAAACAGACUACAAGGGACUGAAGUGAAAGAAUAUUUUCGUGGUGAAUUGUCGUGGUUCACUUUAUUCUAGUACAAAGGUCUUGAGUAAAGGACAUCCACCACUGAAUACAAGGGAAAUGAGUGGAGUCUACACUGCAGAGGAAGAGGAACAAAUGCCACUGCACAUUAAAAAGUGCAAAAAGAGGGGCCUUAGUGUUCGGGACCCUAAGGUGUAAUGUGAGAGGAUAAGAUGCACCACAAUAGUCAGUACCUUCUGUGGUAAGCAAAGGAAGUAGAAAGGGAAUGGAAACUAGGCUAACAGAAGGGACCAUAGCUACAGUUAAGCACCCUUCCAUGUAAUGCGAAGGAACUGGAAGUAGGAGGGAACAGGAUCCUAGACAACAGAAGGGAACACAGCAGCAAUUAUCACCUUGACAGUCCCAAAUGCCUUCACAUACAAUGUAAAGGAAGUCCUGGGAUCCUAAACUAACAAAAGGGACCACAUCUGCAUUUAGGCACAUUCACAGGUUCCAAGUACCUUCUGUGGUAAUAUAAACAAAACUGUGGAGAGCAUGGACUCCAGACUAAGAGAAGGGACCACAGUUGCAAUUAAGCAGUUCUACAGUCCCAAUACACUCCCAGGUAAUGUUAAGAGUUAGAGGGCAUGGGACCCUAGGUUAACAAAAUGGACCACAGUUGCAUUUAAGCACCUUUCUGUCCCAAAUACCAACAAGUAACACAAGUGAGUAGAGAGGGGUGAGAUCCUAGGACUGUAGCUGCAUUUAAGCACAUUAACAGUCCCUUGUACCCUCUUUUAUAAUGCAAAUUGAGUAGAAGAGCAUGGGAAUCUAGACCAACGAAUGAGAUUGGAUAAGCAAGAAGAGUCCCAUUAACAGUCCCAAGUACCCCCUGCAGUGAUAAAAAGGCAGUUAGGUAGGAAUGGACUUUGAACUUAACAUAAGGGACUUUACCUGCAUUUAAACACAUUGGGAUUCCCUGGUGGCUCAGAUGGUAAAGUCUGCCUGUAAUACAGGAGACCUGGGUUUGAUCCCUGAGUCAGGAAGAUCCCCUGGAGAAGGAAAUGGCAACCAAGUCCAGUAUUCUUGCCUGGAAAAUCCCAUGGAGGGAGGAGCCCGGCCAACUACAGCCCAUGAGUCGCAGAGUAGGACACGACUGAGCAACUUCACUUUCACUUUCAAACACAUUGAAAGUCCCUUGUAGCCUCUGGGGUGAUGCAAACGGAGUCAGGUGGGAAUGGGAUCCUAGGUUAACGUAAGGGCUUGUAGCUGCAUUUAAGCAAGUUAAUAGACCCUUGUACCCUCUUUUAUAAUGCAAAUUGAGUAGGAAGGCAUAGGAAUCUAGAUCAACAGAUGAGACUGUAUAGGCAAGUAAAUGCAUUAACAGUCCUUAAGUACCCUCUGCAGUCAUGAAAAGGAAGUUAGGUGGGAAUAGGAUCCUAGGUUAACAUAAGGGACUACAGCUGCAUUUAAGCACAUUAAAAGUCCCUUGUACAGUCGUGGUAAUGUAAAUCUAGUAGGAGAGAAUGGGAUCCUAGACUAAGAGAGACUGUAAGUGCAAUAAAGCUCACUAUCAGUCUCAAUUACCAUCUGUAGUCCUGAAAAAAGGAGUUAUGCAGGAAUGGAUUUCGAUGUUAAGGCACUAUACCUGCAUUUAAACACAUCAACAGUCCCUUGUAGCCUCUUUGACAAGUGAGUUAGGUGGGGAUGGGAUCCUAGGUAACAUAAACGACUGCAAGCAGCAUUUAAGCACAUUAGCAGUCCCUUGUAUCCCCUUCGAUACAGUAGAGGGAAUUAAAGGGGGAGAGAGAAUCUUAGACUAAAACAUGGGACUGUAACUGCCUUUAUGUACAAUAACAGUCACUUGUACACUUUGGGAUAAUGCAAAUGGAGUAGGAAGGAUGGAGAUCUAGACUAAAAGAAGGGACAGUAGUGCAAUUAAGCCCAUUAAAAAGUCCUAUGUAUGCUCUGAAGUAAUACAAAGGAAGUUAGGUAGAAAUAGGAUCCUGAUUAUCAUAAGGGACUAUAGCUCGAUUUAAGUACAUUAACCAUCCCUUCUAUCCUCCCUGAUAUGCAAAUCAAGAAGGAAGAGAAUGGAUCCUAGAUGAGAUAAGGGAAUGUAGCUGCAGUGAAUCACAUUAAUAGUUCGAAGUAUCCUCCAAAAUCAUGCAAAGGGACUUAGUUGGGGGUGGGAUCCUAGGUUAACAUAAGGGACUGUAAUUGCAUUUUAAAACAUUAGCAGGCACUUGUACAGUCACUGGUAAUGCAAAGGGCGUUAGGUGGGAAUAGGAUCCUGGGUUUUAAAAAGGAGGCGGAGGAAAAAGAACUGUAUGGGCACAUUAACAGUCCAUUGUAUCCUCUGUGGUAAUGUAAAUCUUUAGGAGAUGGGAAUCUAAACAAAGGGAAGGACCAAUGGUAGUUCAUUAACAAGUUCUAUGUAGGCUCUGCAGUAAUUAAAAGGAAGAUAUUAAUAGUUGGGAAUGGGAUCCUAGGUUACCAUAAGGGAUGUAGUGGUAUUUAAGGCCAUGAACAGCCCCAAGCAUCCUCUGCAAUCCUGCAAAGAGCCUUAGUUGAGGAUAAGAUCCUAAGUUAAUAUAAGGGACUGUAGCAGCAUUUUAGCAUAUUAAGAGUCCAUUAUACCCUCUUUGGUAAUGCAAAUCGAGGGUGGCCUGGGAAUCUAGACUAACAGAAGGAAGGGCAGUGCAAAUAAGCCCAUUAACAAGUCCAUGUAGGCUCUACAUUAAUGAAAACAGAGUUAGGUGGGAAUAGGAUAUUAGAUUAAUAUAAGAAACUGCUGUUCCAUUUAAUCACCUUUAACAGUCCCUUGUACAAUUUGUGAAGAAAGCUGAGUACCUAAAAACUGAUGCUUUUAAACUGUGGUGUUGGAAAAGACUCUUGAGAGUCCCUUGGACUGCAAGAUCCAACCAGUCCAUCCUAAAGGAGAUCAGUCCUGGGUGUUCAUUGGAAGGACUGAUGCUGAAGCUGAAACUCCAAUACUUUGGCCACCUCAUGCGAAGAGUUGACUCAUUGGAAAAGACCCUGAUGCUGGGAGGGAUUGGGGGCAGGAGGAGAAGGGGACGACAGAGGAUGAGAUGGCUGGAUGGCAUCACCGACUAAAUGGACAUGAGUUUGCAUGAACUCCAGGAGUUGGUGAUGGACAGCGAGGCCUGGCAUGCUGUGAUUCAUGGGGUCACAAAGAGUUGGACACAACUGAGUGACAGAACUGAACUAAACUGUACAAUUUGUGGUACUGCAAAUCGUGUGAGAGGGCAUAAGAAUGUACAAUAACAGAAGGGAAUGCAGCUGCAGUAUACCUCAUUAACAGUCCCAAAUACCCUCUGUAGGCAGGAAAGGGAGUUAGGUGGAAAUGAGAUCUUAGGUUACCUGAGGGACUGUAGGUCCUUUUAAGCAUAUCAACAGUCCAUUGUACUCACUGUGGUAAGGCAAAUCAAGUAUGAGGGCAUGGGAAUCGGGACUAACAGAAGGGGCUAUCGCUCUAAUUGAGCCCUUGAACUGUCCCAAGUCCUCUCUACAAUCAUGUCAAGGGGAUGAGGUGAGAACAGGAUUUUAGAUAAAUGUAAGACUCUGUAGCUCCAUUUAAGCACAUUAACAGUUUCUUGUAGCAUCUUCAGUAAUGCAAAUCAAGUAAAAGUAAAAAAUUUCAGAAUAGCAGAGGGGACUGUGGCCCAUUAAGAGUUUCUUGUACAGUCAGUAGUAAUACAAAUCAUGUAGGAGUGGAUGGGAAUCUAGACUAACAGAAGGAACUGUAACUGUAGUAAAGCCCAUUAACAGUCCCAAGUACUUUCUGCAGUCAUUAAAAGCGAGUUGGAUGGGAUAGGGUCCGAGGUAAACAUAAGGGACUGUAAUUGCUUUUAAGCACAGUACCAGUCCCUUCUACUUUCUGUGGUAGUGCAAGGGAGUCACUGACUGUUGGGGAACGGGGUUAUAGGCAAACGUAACAGACUGGCUGGAUUUAAGCACAGUAACAGUCUCUUGUGCACUCUGGGGUAAUGUAAGUUGAGUAGGAGAGAUGGGAUUCUAGACUUAACAAAAAGGACAGCAGUGCAUUUAAGCCCAUUAGCAAGUCCCUGUAGGCUCUGCAAUAAUGAAAACAGAGUUAGGUGGGAAUGGGAUCCUAGAUUAAUAUAGAGGACUAUAGUUCUAUUUAAGCACAUUAACAGUCCCAGUUACUUUAUGUGGUAAUACAAACCCAUUAAGAAUGUAAACAAUUCUAGAUUAACAAAAGGGACUGUGGCUACAGUAAAGCUCAUUAACAGUUCCAAGUACCCUCUGCAGUCAUUAAAAGGGAGUUAGGUGGGAAUAGAGUCUUAGGUAACAUAAGAGGCUGUGGCUGCAGUAAAGCACAUUAACAGUCCCUUAUACCCUCUUUUAUAAUGCAAAUUAGUCAGAGAGCAUGGGAAAGUAGACCAACAGAUGAGACUGUAUAGAUAGGUAAGUGCAUUACCAGUCCCAAAUAUCCUCUGCAGUCAUGAAAAAGUAGUUAGCUGGGGACAGAAUCCUAGGUUAUCAUAAGACUGUAGCUGCUUUUAAGCACAUUAACAGUCUAUGAACACUCUGUGUUAAUGCAAAUCAUGUAGGAGUGGAUGGAAAUCUAGACUAACAGAAGGAACUGUUAGGGACUUUUAAGCACAGUAGCAGUCCCAAGUAAUCUGCAGUCAUGAAAAGGGAGUUAGAUGGGGGAUGGGAUCCUAGGUCAUUGCUUUUAGGCACAUUAACAGUCCCUUAUAUCUCCCUUGCUAAUGCAAAUUGAGUAGGAGGGCAUGGGAAUCUCAACUAACAGAAGGGACAGUAGCUCUCAUUGAGGCCAUUAACUAUUCCAAGUAACCUCCGCAGUCAUGCAACAAGAUUUAAAUGGGAAUGGGAUCAUAGGUAAACCUAAGAGACUAUAGAUGCAUUUAACCAUGUUAAGUCUUUACACUCCAGGGUAAUACAAAUCGAGUAGGAGGGAUAGGCUCCUAGACUAAGAAGUGACAGCAGUGCAAUUAAGCAUUUUGACAAGUCCCAUAUAGGCUCCGGAGAAGGCAAUGGCAACCCACUCCAGUACUCUUGCCUGGAAAAUCCCAUGGACGGAGGAGCCUGGUAGGCUGCAGUCCAUGGGGUCGCUAAGAGUCGGAUACGACUGAGCGACUUCACUUUCACUUUUCACUUUCAUGCAUUGGAGAAGGAAAUGGCAACCCACUCCAGUGUUCUUGCCUGGAGAAUCCAAGGGACGGGGGAGCCUGGUGGGCUGCCGUCUAUGGGGUUGCACAGAGAUGGACACGACUGAAGUGACUUAGCAGCAGCAGCAGCAUAUAGGCUCUGCAUUAAUGAAAAUGAAGUCAGGUGGGAAUGGAAUCCCAGGUUAACAUAAGGGACUGUAGCUGCAUUUAAGCACCAUAUCAGUCCCUUGUAUCCUCUUUCACAAUGCAAACUGAGUAGCAGGGCAUGGGAAUCUAGAUCAACAGAUGAGACUAUAUAGGCAGGUAAAUGCAUUAACAGCCCCAAGUACCCUCUGCAGUCAUGAAAAGGGAGUUAGAUAGGAAUGGGAUCCUAGAUUAAUAGAAAAGACUGUAGCUGGAUUUAAGCACAUUAACAGUCGAAGUUACUUUAUAUGGUAAUACAAAUCCAGUAAGAACGAAAAUGAUUCUAGAUUAACAAAAGGGACUGUGGCUGCAAUAAAGCACAUUAACAGUUCCAAGUACCCUCUGCAGUAAAAAAGGGAGUUAGGUGGGAAUAGGGUCCUAGGUAAACGUAAGAGAUUGUAGCUGCUUUUAAGCACAGUACCAGUCCUUUUACCUUCUGUGGUAGUGCAAGGGAGUCAGGUGGGAAUGGGGGUAUAGGUAAACAUAGACUGUGGAUGCAUUUAAGCACAGUAACAACCUCUUCAAACACUCUGGGAUAAUGUCAAUCCACUAGGAGGGAUGGGCUCCUAGAAUAAUAGAAGGAAUGGCAGUGCAAUUAAGUACACUGACAAGUCCCAUAUAGGCUCUGCAGUAAUGAAAAGGGAGUUAGGUGGGAAUGAGAUCUAGGUUAACAUAAGGGACUAUAGCUACAUUUAAGUACAUAAACAGUCCCUUGUAUCCUUUUAUAAUGCAAAUUUACUAGGAGGGCAUUGAAAUCUAAACUAACAGAGGAGACUGUAUAGGCAGGAAGUGCAUCAACAGUCCCAAGCACCUUCUGCAGUGGUAAAAAGGGAAUUAGGUAGGAAUGGGAUCCAAGGUUAAUAUAAGGGCCUGGAUCUGCAGUUAUGUACACUGAAAGUCCCUGGGAGCCUCUGGGAUGCUGCAAAGGGAAUUAGGUGGGAAUGGGAUCCCACCUUACUAAAAGGGACUGUAGCUGCAUUUAAGCAAUGUAACAGUCCUUUAUACCCUCUUUUAUGAUGCAAACUGAGUAGCAGAGAAUGGGAAUCUAGACCAACAGAUGAGACUGUUUAAGCAGAUAAGUGCAAUAACAGUCCCAAGUACCCUCUGAAGUCAUGAAAACUAGUUAGAUGGAGACAGAAUCCUAGGUUAGCACAAAGGACUGUAGCUCCAUUUAAGCACCUUAGCAAUCCCAGUUCCUCUAUGUAGUAAUACAAAUCCAGCAAGAAGGAAACUGAUUUUAGAUUAACAGAAGGAACUAUGCUGCCGUUAAGCCCAUUAAUAGUCUCAAGUAACUUCUGCAGCCAUUAUAAGGGUGUUGGGUGGGAUAGGGUCCUAGGUAAACAAAAGGGACUGUAGUUGCUUUUAAGCACAGUACCAGUACCUUUUACUUUCUGUGGUAGUGCAAGGGAGUCACUCACUGACUGUUGGGAAUGGGGUCACAGGGAAACAACAGACUGUGGAUGCAUUUAUGCACAGUAACAGUCUCUUGUACACUCUGGGGCAAUGCAAACUGAGUAGGAGAAAUGGGAUUCUAGACUAACAGAAUAGACAGUAGUGUAAUUAAAUCUAUUAAUAAGUCCCUGUAGGCUCUGCAGCAAUAAAAAAGGGAGUCAGGUGGGAAUGGGAUUCUAGGUUAACAUAAGGGACUGUAGAGGCAUUUAAGCAUAUUAGCAAUCCCAGUUACUCUAUGUGGUACUAAAAACCGAGUAAGAAAGAAAUUCACGCUAGGUUAAUAGAAGGGACAGUAGCUGCAGUUAAGCCCAUCAAUAGUCCCAAGUACAUUCUACAGUCAUUAAAACGGAGUUGGGUGGGAUAGCCUCCUAGCUAAACAUAAGCGACUGCAGUUGUUUUCAAGCACAGUAAAGUCCCUUCCACUUUCUGUGAUAGUGCAACACAGUCACUAACUAUUGGGAAUGGGGUCAUAAAUAAACAUAACAGACUGGAUGAAUUUAAGCACAGUAACAGUCUCUUCUACACUCUGGGGAAAUUGAGUAGGAGAGAUGGGAUUCUAGACAUAACAAAAGGACAGAAGUGGAUUUAAGCCCAUUAACAAGUCCCUGUAGGCUCUUCAGUAAUACAAAGGGACUUAGGUGGGAAUGGGAUCCUACAUUAAAACAAGGACUGUAGCUGGAUUUAAGCACAUUAACAGUCCCAGUUACUUUAUGUGGUAACACAAAUCCAGUAAGAACGAAAAUGAUUCUAGACUAACAAAAGGGACUGUGGCUGCAGUAAAGCACAUUAACAGUCGCUUAUACCCUCUUUUGGAGAAGGCAAUGGCAACCCACUCCAGUACCCUUCCCUGGAAAACCUCAUGGACAGAGGAGCCUGGUAGGCUGCCCUCUAUGGAGUCCCUAGGAGUCAGACACGACUGAGUGACUUCACUUUCACUUUUCACUUUCAUGCAUUGGAAAAGGAAAUGGCAACCCACUCCAGUGUUCUUCCCUGGAGAAUCCCAGGGCUGGGGGAGCCUGGUGGGCUGCUGUCUCUGGGAUCACACAGAGUUGGACACGACUGAAGUGACUUAGCAGCAUACCCUCCUUUAUAAUGCAAAUUAGUAGGAGAUCUUGGGAAAGUAGGCCAACAGAUGAGGCUGUAUAGGCAGGUAAGUGCAUUACCAGUCCCAAACACCCUCUGCAGUCCUGAAAUAGUUAGCUGGGGACAGAAUCCUGUGUUAACAUAAGAGAUUGUAGCUGCUUUUAAGCACAUUAACAGUCUAUGUAUCCUGUGUUAAUGCAAACCACGUAGGAGUGGAUGGAAAUCUAGACUCAGAGAAGGAACCAGCUACUUUCAAGAACAGGAACCGUCCCAGGUAAUCUGCAGUCAGGAAAAGGGAGUUAGGUGGGGGAUGGGAUCCUAGGACAUUGCAUUUAAGCACAUUAACAGUCCCUUGUAUCCCCCUUGGUAAUGCAAAUGGAGUAGGAGGGCAUGGGAAUCUCAACAGAAGAGACUGUAGCUCUAAUUGACUCCAUUAACUAUUCCAAGUAACCUCUGCAGUCAUGCAACGAACACAGGUAAGUAUAAAAGACUGUAAAUGCAUUUAAGCACCUUAACAGUCUUGGUUACUCUAUGUGGUACUACAAAUCCAGUAAGAAAGAAACUGACCCUAGGUUAAGAGAAGGGACUGAAACUCCAGUUAAGCUCAAGUACCCUCUCAUUAAAAAAGACUUAGGUGGGAAUAGGGUCAGUCCCAGUUAAGCUCAAGUACCCUCUCAUUAAAAAAGACUUAGGUGGGAAUAGGGUCAGUCCCAGGUAAACAUAACAGACAGAUGCAUGCAGAUGCAUUUAAGCACAGCAAGUCUCUUGUACACUCUGGGGUAAUGCAAAUUGACUAGGAGAAAUGGGGUUCUAGACUCAACAGAAAGGACAGCAGUGCAUUUAAGCCCAUUAACAAGUCCCUGUAGGCUCUUCAGUAAUACAAAGGGAGUUAGGUGACGAUGGGAUCCUAGGUUAAUAGAAAGGAGUGUAGCUGGAUUUAAGCACGUUAACAGUCCCAGUUACUUUAUGUGGUAACACAAAUCCGGUAGGAACAAAAAUGAUUUUAAAUUAACAAAAGGGACUGUGGCUGCAGUAAAGCACAUUAACAGUCCCUUAUACCCUCCUUUAUAAUGCAAAUUAGUAGGAGAUCUUGGGAAAGUAGGCCAACAGAUGAGACUGUAUAGGCAGGUAAGUGCAUUACCAGUCCCAAACACCCUCUGCAGUCCUGAAAUAGUUAGCUGGGGACAGAAUCCUGUUUUAAUAGAAGAGAUUGUAGCUGCUUUUAAGCACAUUAACAGUCUAUGUAUCCUGUGUUACUGCAAACCACGUAGGAGUGGAUGGAAAUCUAGACUCAGAGAAGGAACUAGCUACUUUUAAGAACAGGAACCGUCCCAGGUAAUCUGCAGUCAGGAAAAGGGAGUUAGGUGGGGGAUGGGAUCCUAGGUUUAAAAAGUGGGGAGGAGGACUGUAGUUGCAUCUAAGCACAUUGACAGUCCUUUGUGUAGUCUUUGGUAAUGUAAACGGAUUUAGGAGGGGAUGGGGUCCAAGGCUAGUGGUAAAGAACCCACUUGCCAAUGCAGAUCUAAGAGAUGCAGGUUUGAUCCCUGGGUGGGAAAGAGCCCCUGAAGGAGAGCAUGGCAACCCCCUUAAGUAUUCUUGCCUGGAGAAUCCUAUGGACAAAGGAGCCUGGCAGGCUACAGUACAUGGGGUCACCAGAGUCGGACACCACUGCACACAUGGACUACCCACCAAAGAUAAGGGACAGCAGUAUAGUUAAAGCCAUUAACAAGUCAUAUGUAGGCUCUGCAGUAAUGAAAGGGAGAUAGUUGGUGAUGGAAUCCUAGGUUAACAUAAGGACUGCAGUAGCCUUUAAGCACAUUAACAGUCCCUGAACCCUCUGUGGUAAUGCAAAUUCAGUAAGAAAGGAACUGAUUGCAGUUUAACUGAAGGAAUGGUAACUGUAAUAAAGCCCAUUACAAGUCCAUUGUCCCCCUUUUCGUAAUGCAAAUAAAGUAGGAGGGCAUGGGAGUCUUUACUGAGGGGACUGUAACUCUAACAGAGCCUUUUGACAGUCCCUAGUAUCCACUGCAGUCUUACAAAGAGAUUUAGUUGGGAAUGGGAUCAUAGGUAAACAUAGAGACUGCAGAUGCAUUUAAAAGCAUGUCAACAGUCUCUGGUACACUCUAGAGUAAUGCAAACUGAGUAGAGUGAUGGAAUUCUAGACUAACAAAAGGGACAGUAGUGCAAUUAAGCUCAGGAAUAAGUCCCACAUACGCUGUGCAUUAAUAAAAAGAGAGUUAGGUGUUAAUGGAAUCGUAGGUUAACUUAAAGGACUGUAACUCCACUUAAGCACAUUAACAGUCCCUUGUACCCUUUGUGGUAAUGCAAAUCAAGCAGGAAGGGAACAGAUUCUAGACUAACAAAAGGAACUGUAGCUGCAAUAUAGUUCUUUAACAGUCCCAAGUACCCUAUGCACUCAUACAGAGAGGUGAGGAUGGGUUUCUAGGUUAACAUAAGGGACUGUAGCUGUAUAAACCCAUUAUCAUUCCUUUGUACUGCCUGUGGUAAUGCAAAUCAUUCAGUAGGGGAGUGGAUAUUAAACCAGCCAAAGGGUCUCUAUAAUCAAGCCCAUUAACUGCCCCAAGUAUCCUCUGCUGUAAUGCAAAGGCAGUUAGUUGGGGAUGGGCUUCUAGUUAAAAGGAAAGAGUCCCUAGGGAUUCCAGUUUUGCAAGUGAACAAUUUUAGGAAAUGGCCUUACUUAAUCAGCACCCUUUCAGCAGUAAAGAUGAUGCAGAGUUCCUGAUACAAAAACCCGAGGUGUAAUCAAUUAGGUUUGUGCAUAUAAACUGUUCUAGUUCAGACUUCUUAAGUAGUAAGGGUGCCCUGGUCAAAGACAAAGUGGGCCAGUGUGACUAGUUUACAGGACAGGGACAAAAGCAAUUAUGGACAUUAUAAAUUCAAGAGGAGGGCCCUUGAGAGUUCAACCCAUGUAGCUUGCAAAUAGGAUAGCAAUGGCCCAUUAAAACAGACAGGACUCUGGACAACUGCAACUAUGCAAAUUAACUGUCCAAGAGCUGAGUUCUUGAAUAAUCUGCAUGACCCAGCAAUAUUCCACCAAGUGUGGGGUUUCAUUUUUUAUUGCAUGGGACCAUGGAUACACACAAUUAUGCACAUCAAUUUUUUAAUAAGAGAAGGGACUUUGGGUAAUCAGAACUCAGAAGAAAUGGCCAUCGAGAUAAGAGCUAUCCUAGACUAAUGGAUAGGAUCAUGGGAAAUGAGAAUUUUAUAUAUUAACCCAAGGUGGCAGGUAGUCCGAACUACAUAGGGGCAAUGAAAAGAGCAUGGGUGGAUCUUACCUGUUAAGCAGGACCGUGAUCAACAAUAACUGAAUCCAUUAAUAUUCCAAAGUAAGUGACUUUUAAGAUGAGCACUUCUGCUACAGUGCAAAAAAGUUGCAAAGGACCUAUGUAAUGAACAAUUGGGAUUCUACACAUUAAUAAUUCAAGGAACAUGGUCUCAGGUAAUCAGCAAUGCCUAAGAGCAAUGCAAAUAGGAUGGAGGAUCAUUGGUUAAUGGGGGAAACAGAAAUUACAAUUUGGUACUUUAAUUGUACAAGAACAGGACUCCCCAGAAGCAGGACAAAACUGGUAGGAUGCCUGUGUUUAAUGGACAAGGCUAUGACAACUGGGACUGAGCACAUUAAAAAAAAAUUGGGGUUUUUUGUGCCCUUUGCUGAAUGCAAGAGGGUUUUGGACUGGAAUCUAAUCCAAUAGGCAGGGUUAUGGGCAAUUGCAACUUCACUCAGUACGAAGAGUUUAGGUGGUCAGCUCAGUAAAUAUGCACCGUCCAGAAAACUAGGAUUGUGAGGACUGCAGCAAUGACAGAGGAAUGGUUUCUCCGUUAUUGACAUGGGAUUGAGAAGAUUAUGAGUAACUAGACUCAUGGGCAAUAAUUGUCUGAUAUGAAGCUCUCAGUUAGUUAAUGUUUCUUAACAUUAAUGCAAAGGAUGAAUGGAUUCUUUUUUUUAACAUGGGCCAAGGGACAAAUGGGAUUCUGUAGAUUAACUGAAAAUGGUGACUUGGAUAGCCAGCACUCAAGAUCAGGAAUGCUAGAGGUAGAGAGGGUAUCCCAGUCUAAUGGAUGAGCAAUGGACAACUUAUUUUUUUCACUGAAUCAACAGAAAUUGCACUGGCUUUAAGCAGAAACAGGACUGAGGCUG
ensembl:lncRNA